rnacentral:rRNA from 1 species
AAACACAACACAGUGCAAUCAUUAAUAUGAUAGUAUACUGUGUGAAAUUUGCCCGAUGCCAUUAAUAUAAGAGCGGUCAUGGGGAACUGUGACUAAUCGAAAAUCUGGUUAAUAGCGGUCUUAACUAUGAGGAUCCUAAGGUAGCAAAAUCAGUUGGCCAUUAAAUGUGGUCCGGUNCCAAUAAUGUAACGAUGGCCUCACUGUCUCUACAACUUGCUCAGUGAAAUUGAAUUACACGUGCAGAUGCGUGUUACCUCCAGGGGGACGGGAAGACCCUAUGCAGCUUCUAC